rnacentral:tRNA from 1 species
GGCCUGUUAGCUCAGUCGGUAGAGCGUGGUGCUAAUAACGCUAAGGUCGUGAGUUCGAUCCUCACACAGGCCA